rnacentral:rRNA from 1 species
GGAAAGGCGCGCGAUACAGGGUGACAGCCCCGUACACAAAAAUGCACAUGCUGUGAGCUCGAUGAGUAGGGCGGGACACGUGGUAUCCUGUCUGAAUAUGGGGGGACCAUCCUCCAAGGCUAAAUACUCCUGACUGACCGAUAGUGAACCAGUACCGUGAGGGAAAGGCGAAAAGAACCCCGGCGAGGGGAGUGAAAAAGAACCUGAAACCGUGUACGUACAAGCAGUGGGAGCACGCUUAGGCGUGUGACUGCGUACCUUUUGUAUAAUGGGUCAGCGACUUAUAUUCUGUAGCAAGGUUAACCGAAUAGGGGAGCCGAAGGGAAACCGAGUCUUAACUGGGCGUUAAGUUGCAGGGUAUAGACCCGAAACCCGGUGAUCUAGCCAUGGGCAGGUUGAAGGUUGGGUAACACUAACUGGAGGACCGAACCGACUAAUGUUGAAAAAUUAGCGGAUGACUUGUGGCUGGGGGUGAAAGGCCAAUCAAACCGGGAGAUAGCUGGUUCUCCCCGAAAGCUAUUUAGGUAGCGCCUCGUGAAUUCAUCUCCGGGGGUAGAGCACUGUUUCGGCAAGGGGGUCAUCCCGACUUACCAACCCGAUGCAAACUGCGAAUACCGGAGAAUGUUAUCACGGGAGACACACGGCGGGUGCUAACGUCCGUCGUGAAGAGGGAAACAACCCAGACCGCCAGCUAAGGUCCCAAAGUCAUGGUUAAGUGGGAAACGAUGUGGGAAGGCCCAGACAGCCAGGAUGUUGGCUUAGAAGCAGCCAUCAUUUAAAGAAAGCGUAAUAGCUCACUGGUCGAGUCGGCCUGCGCGGAAGAUGUAACGGGGCUAAACCAUGCACCGAAGCUGCGGCAGCGACGCUUAUGCGUUGUUGGGUAGGGGAGCGUUCUGUAAGCCUGUGAAGGUGUGCUGUGAGGCAUGCUGGAGGUAUCAGAAGUGCGAAUGCUGACAUAAGUAACGAUAAAGCGGGUGAAAAGCCCGCUCGCCGGAAGACCAAGGGUUCCUGUCCAACGUUAAUCGGGGCAGGGUGAGUCGACCCCUAAGGCGAGGCCGAAAGGCGUAGUCGAUGGGAAACAGGUUAAUAUUCCUGUACUUGGUGUUACUGCGAAGGGGGGACGGAGAAGGCUAUGUUGGCCGGGCGACGGUUGUCCCGGUUUAAGCGUGUAGGCUGGUUUUCCAGGC